AGGCCAAAGUGCUUGGCCAAGCGUUUAAGCGACUCCAAAUCUGGUCUGCAAGCCCUCACCAUUCACCUUGACCUCCCACCUCUCAGCAAUCUCAGCAGCUCCCCCGUCCCGGCUGCACACAAAGAACUUCCAUGCCUUUCCCAGUUAGGUCACACUGUUCCCUCAGGCUGGAGGGCCUUCUCUAUGCUCCACCACCCUUCUGUCCUCAAGGCUGAAUGUCACCUCCAUCACAAAGCUUUCCCAGACUCCCUCAUAAAAAGGCUCCUUCUUUCCUUCAAGGACCACAGUGUGUUACCAAGCAAUAAUUUUAUUCCUUCUCCAGUCAAGAUUUUGCCUUAUCUCUCCCCUGCAUGAGCUCAUGAAAGCAGAAAACAUAUUUUAUCGUUGACUUCCUUACAGCGUGUUAUCUUGCAGAAGGCACUCAACAAAUACCAGCAAUGCAUAUGCCUAGAAUUAGCCUGUCCUACGGUCAAGUGUGUUAGCUGAGAUCUCUGCACACACCCUUAUGCAUACAUACUACGACUGCUGAACAUUUCCCAUGGCUAGACAGAAGUGGGAAAACUUGGCGUGGCCAUCAGAAGUGCUUUACCGUAUGUGCUGUCUAGUACAGUGGUUUACAGGAAUUCCAACAAAAUCCCACCAUGAUCAUAAACAUCGUCAUUCCAAGGGCCAGGAAUUGGGAGGAAAAACUUUCUCAACACUCAACUUACAAACUCAAAAAGCAUCUGUUCAUUAUCUAUCAUUUCUAAUCCUCCCAGCAGGCCCUGACAGUAUUUAGAUUAAAUUAAGAGACUGUUUCUUUACUCAGUAACUUGUUGGAAACAGCUUAUUAUUGCUGUAAGAAAGAUGGGUAAUCCAGAUAUGAACCCAAUAUGGUCCAGGGAGGACCUAGUGUGUGUCAGUAGUGAGUCUGCAGGAUCAAACAUGGUACCAUAAACGAGCCUGGUCAGCUCCUUCCGUGGUCUGUGUUAGAGGCUAGAUAUUUUCUGUAUUGUUCUAUAAAACGGCAAUUUGGGAUUGAUCUAGACAGUACUGCUUCUUUUUCCUCUUUUGCCUCCUUUGUUUUAUUUUAGGAGAGGCAGUUAUAAAACACAGCUGGCUCCAUGGAAGGGAAGACUACAUUCCCGAUGCAGCUGUGAACAACAGAAUUUUAAAUCUGUCUGUAAUCUAACCAGCCUGGCUCCUGAAGCUGGACGUGGUGGUUCUGUUUCAGAUCUAUGGCUUUCUUCUGAAGAGUAAUAACACGAGAGUGUUUGCCUAAGGAAGAGGGACCACUGCGCAGGUCUUGUGGAAAACAGAUCAUUUAGUCAAAGGAGUCGGGGAGUGAGGCAGACAAGAUGGUAAUGUGACAGACACCCAUCUACAGGUCUAGGGGUAGUUUUUCUCUUCCGGCUUUGGCCAAAGAAUUCUACAGCUCCCCCACACAGACCCAUUCAUAAGCUCUUGGAGAAGUGAGCAGGCUUGGACCCUGGAGAUCUCCGUGUAUGCUGUCUCCCAUCUGGGACCUUCUUGUCAGCUCAGGGCGUGACUCAGUCUCACUGUGCCUCAUUUGUGUCAUCAAGAGAAGGAAGGGCCCAUUGGAGAAGGACGUGUAUCAGCCAAGCUAAGGUGUGCAUGAGGCUGAGCGGCCUCCCCCGCUGGGCACUGUCUGCAGCUCCUCAUCCGUGCUGUGACCCAGUGGGGCAGUGUCACAGCCUCCCUUACACCCGCUUGUGCACAGGGACAUCUUGUGGCUCUCUCAGAACUAUCUUGUCAGUGUCUGAGUUUUCCUGAUCUUUUGUUCCUGAGGAGCCAGCAGGCUGUACCCCUCCAAUCAGGAUCAGAACCCCAGGCCCGGCCUUGCUCGAAGCACCCCAGAGCCCAGAGGGAGAUACCAGCCCCAGGACUCAUCUCUAUCUGCAACCCUUAGGGCCCCGGCUCCUUAAAGUCCUGCUGUGGGUGCAGUGCCCUCUACUGAAAGGAAAAUCUGGACAAACCAGGAAUAGGGGAGAAGGAGUGGCCAAGGGCCGGUCACUCUGUAAAUGACUCAGUUUGGGUUGGUUUAAUUAUGGUAAAAUUUAAUGUACAGUUCAAUGGCAUAAGAUAUAUUCACACACACUUGUGCAAACAUUCCACACCCUCCAGCUCUAGGAUUUUCUCAUUAUCCUAAACUGAAACUCCCUCUCCCUUUUCCCCUGGUCCCUUCUGUUUUCAGCUUUUAAUUUGUUUCCCAUUAGUAUUACCAUGUCCUUAGUCCCUGCUCACCUCCCUCCUUGGUGACUUACAUUCUGCUUUCUGUCCCUAUGAAUUUGGUGCCUCUAGGUAACUCAGAUAAAUGGCAUGACACAAUGUUUGUCUUUUUUUUUUUUUUUUUUUUUUUUUUGUCUUUUUCCUUUUUUAUCGGUACCGGGGAUUGAACUCACGACUGCCUGCUUGCAAGGCAGGCGCUUGUGCCGCUGAGCUAAAUUCCCAGCCCCGUGUUUGUCUUUUUAUGUCUGGCUUGUUUCACUUCACGUAGUGUCUUCAAGACUCAUCCAGGUUGUUAUUAGGAUACCGCCUUUGAUUUCUACUUGUUCACCGAUGGGCACAGCUUCUUUCCACCAUUUGACAAUUGGGAAUAACUUAUGAUGAGUGUGGGUGUCUUUUUUAAGAUUGUUUUGGUCCAUUUGUAUUUUAACAGGACUCCUUAGGAAGGUAACUCAAGUGGUAGGACAGUUCAGGGCUCGAAGGUGACAAUUUUAAGUGGGGGUAGACUUAGUGUCCCUUCCAUAUCACCUAUGUGGGGAUGCCACAGUAUCCACACUCUGGUAUCGUUUUCUUUUUCUUCACUAAAAAGCACAUGAAGUUAUACCCAGUAGACAUACAGUGUUUUUGAUUAACAACUUCCCAAGCCAUUUGUCCCUGGGAAUAUUUAAUAGUGAUGGCGGGAAGCCGUUGUGGGAUGCAGAUACAAGCAGACGUAAGUAUUAGAACCAACAAGCAUGUUCCCCCCAGAUGGGCCCCAGACAUCUCACGGUCCUGACCCUGGGGAUCGUUGCUCAUUCAGCAUCUGCCCCUUCCGCAUGCUCUCCUCUGUCUUCAGCUUUUCAUUUUCUUCCCAGCAGCACUUGUCUUAACAAAAUAAAAUUACCGAGGGAAAGCACGAGCCCUCAAAGCUCCCCCCUCCCUCCUCCGUCUUCUCCAGAUGCUGCAGCUCCCCCUCCAUUCACCUCUGAGCUUGCCGUCCUCUGACUUCUGCUCUCUCUCGCUCUCUCUGCUGCCGCUGGGUUCUAUUGUGACUCCUUAACUUGAACUCCUGACAUCUUGCUUCACAGGUAGUUCUAAGGAUAUUAAGGAAAAAAUAUUUAAUAAUGGUUGUCAUACUGCAUAUUGUUAUCUUCAAAAUAGUUGCUCAGGUUACCAGGUAGAGGAAUAAAACAAUAUAUUGAAACAAUAUAUUAAAACAAAACAAAACACUGGAUUUCAAAAACAAGACAGAAGGAAAUCCCCCAUAGGUGCACACUGUCAUCCUCCAAACAGAGCCCAGCCCCCCAGUCCCCGAUCUUCAAAGUCAAUCAAACAAUACAAGCAUCAAGCUGUUCAGCUGCUAUCAUCUCAUUCUGAGUCCUCGGAAUCAGCCAGUUGCCCCGGCUGCAGGGGAGAGUGGAGGUGCAGGGUGGGAGUCUUCUGGUUUCCCAGCCCACGCAUGGGCUAGCUUGUGGGAAGGUGUGAUUUGUCUUCUUGCUGAGUCUCGUCCUGAUCCCCAUGGUGGAGCCUGGCUCAUGAGAAGUCCAUGUGUAUAUUUUUACAAUUUCCCAGCAAGGGAAGGCCCAUGGUGUCCUAGGUACUCUAUAUAAUUGAUAAAGUUGUAUCUUCACAAGCUCAGAGACAAGAGCAACCUUUACAAACUGUCAUUGCUGACAGUUAAGUGUAGAAUUCAGGAAAUCAACUCAGUCAUCAAGCAGACUUCCAUACAAUGCCCAGCUCUGUCCGUUACUGGCUGGGUGACCUAGAACAAACCAUUUAAACUCUCUGUGCCAUCUUAUCUUGACUCAAAUAUGGCAGUUGUCACAGCUCCUACCUAAUAGUCCUAUUAGAAAAAAUAAAUGACAUAAGCCUUAUUGCCCAGUGCUUAGCACAGGGCAUGGUUCAUAGGAAGCAUUUCAUGAGGCUUAGCUCUCAUUAUUACUUUUCUUAGUAGAAGUUGACUGCAGCAUUUAAGUGUAUCUUAAUUUUUAUAUUUUUAAAAUUUGAGUGAAGAAACAUGGUAAGAUUUAUUGAAAAAUUCUCUAGAGAAUAAUGAUCGGGAGUGGACAGAACUAUUUACUAAGGGAAUACAAGGAGCUAUAGGGAGAAACAUCACAGUGAUUAAUGGAGAAGCGGAAUCCUGAAUGGAGAAGAACGUGCCUGCAUGGUAUGAGAUCAACUGAAAAGCACAAGGGUGUGACUGUCUUAGUUACUUGCUUAUUGCUGGAACAAAAUACCUGAAACCCACAAGUUAAAAAGGAAAGAUUCAUUUUAGCUCACAGUUUGUAGAGUUUCAGUCCAUGGUUGGCUGGAUCCAAGGCAAAGGAGUGUGGUAGAGAUGGUAGAGGGUUAUGGCAGAGAAGAAAGCUCACAGCAUGGCAGCAGACAGCGGUCAACACUGGAUGUGGCAGGAGGGGAUGGGUACAUUCUGUCGAUCUCAGGCCAUGCUCACGGUGGCCCACUGCCUCCCACCAGGCUUCACCUCUCAGCAACACCCCCCACUAUAAACCCACCAUAGGCCAAUCUAGUAUCACACACCCAUGAUCCAGGUACCUCCCCAAAACCUCACCUAUGAGUGCAUGAGGCUUAGGGGCAACAUCUAGAUAUAGGUCAUAGGGAUGUAACUCAGUGGGCACAGAGCCUGCCUGGCAAGUGUGAGGCCCUGAGUUCUAUUUCCAUACCACCCUCCAAAAAGUAGGUGUAGGCCAUAACAAAUACAGACGCUGCAUCAGCGAUUAGCAUCAGAUAGGAUGAAGGAUCUCAGUGGUGCAUGUACAAAAACAAGAACUAUUGAGAGACAGCUUCUAAUAAAGCUACCGGAACUAAAAGACAACAAUAAUCAACACAGUCUGGCCAUCAGAUGAGGUGUUCCACUAUCUGAUGAAUUUCACAGACUGUAGAUGUCAUUUAAAAAUAAGUGGAGACAUUCCAAGAACAGACUGCAGAGUACAUGAAUAGGUAUAUGAGACUGAGAAAUCAGCUGAAGCGUAAGCAGAAGGACUUUGAAGCAAAACUGGAAAGACACCGAAAUAAAAUGAUCCUGCGUUUUUGAUACAUAAAGGUUGGAGGACAGCAGAGUCUAGAUCUCUGCUAUGCAGUGUGGCACGAGUGGCUCUGGAGCACUUGAAAUGAGGAUAGUGCGAAUUAAGAUCUGCCAUCAGUGCAAAAAUAUAUACCAAGUACAAAGGCAAGAACAUAAAAUAUACUGACAAAUUUUGAAAUAUCAAUAAUGUAUUUUUAAAAUGUUGGCAGAAACCAGACAUGGUGGCACAUACCUGCAGUCUCAGCUACUCAGGAGGCUGAGGUAGGAGAAUUGCUUGAAUCUGAGAGUUAAGACAAGCUUGGGCAAUUUAAUAAGUCCCCAUCAUAAGGAAAAAAGGUGAACAGGAUGAUUUGCACACAGUAGGCACUCAAGAAAUGUAAGCUGCUCUUUCUCUUGCUAUUUAAAUUUAAAGGAGAUUAAAAAUUUGUUGUGUCCUUGCUGUAGCUUGGUAUGGUUUGUUUCCAUAAAAACUCAUAUUGAGGCUUCAUCUCCAGCACUGUGGCACUGGAAAGUGGGGCCUUCAAGGGGUGAGCCCUAGAGGGAGGUGACUCAGUCGCAGGGGGGUCAUCCCUGGAAAAGGUUUGUGCUCUUCUCAAGGUUCUGGAUCGGUUACCACAGGAUGGAAUUAUUACAAAGCGAGCUCGACUUUCACAGUUCAUUCUUUGCUCCCUCUCUUGCAGUGUGUUGUGGUUUAGGUCUAAUGAGCCCCCUGAGCCUCACAUUGAGAGUGGGACCUGGCCAUAAAGGACAGGGACUGGGUGUGGAGGACCAACCAAGACAGCUGCCCCUGAAAGAAGACACUUUGCCUCCGUUUUGAUUCACCUUUGUCCUACUUCUGGGUACUGCUAUGCACACAGUUGACUAGGAAAAGGCUCUUCCCCCUUCGGUGGCUUUAAACAAUGCAAAUGGGUCCAGAGGAGAUGAUGCAGUGAUGUAAGCCUUUGAAGCAAAGCCACCGGUCUGUGAUGCCCGCCUAUAGCUUCCUACUGCUAAGUGUGAGCUAGGCUGAGAGACACUGCACUGCUGGCUGGGACUGAGCUUGGAGACAGAGGUGGUGGGGUCCCAGUGCAAUCAAAGCUAGAUAUCACAGCUGAAGCAGCCUACCCGAAACACAAACUACUUCCUCAAACUGUGUCUGCAGAUUCCUCCAAACUUAGAGGCUGUUGUCAGAACCUGGUACUCUUUCUGCAUCCCUCACUCUGCACAUUGCAAAUGUGCCCUCGUGCCCCCUACCAGGCCCAGGUUACAGUGCUCACACACUUCCCACUUCCUCACAGUCACUCAACCCCAGGCUGCUCCCCUCUCCACGAAUUAAUAAACACAGGUUUGGCCCUGAGCUGUGGCCUUUGUUCCAUUUAGCCUUUUUUCUGCCUGGAUUUAGGACCCCUUCUUCCCUCCAAGUCUUGAUGUGUCUUUGUUUCUUUAUUGUUUCUGUGGCUUGCAUUGGAAAUGGUAGGUUGGAAUUUAUUUGCAAAAAUUCCAAUAACUUUUUCCUGAGAUUAUAAUUUAUCAACUCCUCCAGACCACAACAAAAUCCAGACAGACUCCCACAGCGGGGGCGUGAGAUUAUAGGGUUCGUUUUUCUCCAAGCUCUGCCCUCUCUCUACUUUCUGGCUGCCAUGAGGAGACCAGCAUUCCUCCAGCAUGCCAUUCUGCAGUGUCAUUUCUGCCUUGGCAUCUGCCAACCAUGGAGUGAACUCAAUAAAACUGAGUCAAAAUAUGCCUCUCCUGCUUCAAACUGUCCCAGGGACAGGAACGCAAUAGCUACCAGGAGUAGAGCAAUUGCUGUGACUGUAGCUGACCAUGUAGUUUAAAAGUUUUGGAACUGAUUUGCAGGAGGAGGUUGGAAAGGCUUGGAGAUGCAGGAUAGAGAAGCCCUAGAAUGCUGUGAGCAGUGUUGUGUGAUACUGGUCAGAGCUCAGAAGAUCGUAACGCUAAUAGGAAUGUGGACAGUAAAGGUCAGGGUCACGAUGUUGCAUUUGAGGAAAAAGGACUCCAUUGGUGCUUGGGUUAGAGACUAUGUCAUGUUCUGAUUAAAAAAUUUGUCUACAUUUUACCAUGACUUGAGGACUUUUCAGGACACUGAGAUUAAGAGCAGCAAACUAAUCGAUCUGGCAAAGGAAAUUGCAAGGCAGCCCAUUGGUCAGACCAUGACAUGUAUAAAGCUGGAUGCUUUUAGCUGGACCUAUUGGGUAAGUCAGGAAUAGACAGUGGAGCUGAAUGAUUUAAAGUUUGUAAUUUUGCCAAAAAAAGUAAGACCUGUAAAGGUAGGGCAAAAAAACACAUGAUUGCUGAAAAAGUUAACAUUAAAAAGAAGCCAAAUACUUUGUACAAGGAGCAGAAAUCAGUAAAGCUCCACCCAUCCCAGGUUUGAGGGUGCAAAAUUGUAAACUCUUCAUCUGAGAAGAGUGGCACUUACUCAUCCAAGGCCACCUAUAGAAGUGUAUCCCUAAGCUCAAGCAUUGAAGCACUCAGCAGCCACUACGGCCAUGAUCCAAGGGAAUCCAGUUAGUUCUCAAGCUGGUGGCCAAGUUUUGCAUCCUUUCCAUGGUGGUGGUUUUUGGGGAAUGCACAAUGCGAGAGUUAUGGGGUCACAGUGACUUCCACUAAGAUUUCAGAAGAAGGUCUGGGGCCAGGAGCCCAUGAGAGGACAGUGUGUGAUGUUAUAAGAAUGAAGCCAAGAUGUAGUAGAGACCCUAAGAAGAUGAAACUGCCAGGAAUUCGGUUGUCUGCUAAGAGAAGCCUCAGGCAGUGCAUAGAUUCAGUCCAAGUGAGAAACCAUGUGGGCUGCAACCAACAAGGCCAUCGAGGCAGGGCUACCCAAGCCCCGGGUUCUGGUUGUGGAGCUACUGGAUUUAAUAUUUGCCCUGCUGAGUUUUGUCUUACUUUGGACAGAUUUCUGUGUAUCCCUCUAUUCUUCCCAUUUGGAAUGUGUGUGUUUACCCUGUUGGAAGUGUUUAACACCCAGUGGCUUAGCCCUAAGAUUUGCCUUAAAUCUCAGGGGGAACUCUGAAUUCAGACUUUUCAGCCGUGCUGGAAUUGUUGAGCCUUUGUGACUUUAGGAAAGGACUAACGUGUUUGGCAUGAGAUGGUGAUGAGGCUUUGGGCGACCAAAGGUGGAGUGUCAGGGUUUAGAUCUAAAAUGGCCCCCCAAAGCCUCCCCUUCUGAAUGGGGCCUGCUCUAAAGGAGGAGCUCACUGCAGGAAUGCUGGGAAGGUGUGUCUCUGCCCCCAGCUCCUCUUCCCUCUGCUUCCUGGUUGUCAUGCCCUAAACAGCCUUCCUCCUGUAUUCCAUCCUUUUAUGCCGUGUCUGCCUUGGAGUCAGCCGAUCCACUGAAACUGUGAGCCAAAAUAAACCUUUCCUCCUGUAAGUUGUGGACGUUGGUUUGUUUUAGUGAUGGGAAAGUGACUAAUGUACCAUGUGACCCAUUGCACAUGGCUCCCACCAUGUGAUGCUGUCCUCCACAUUAAAAUGCAACUGGAAGACUCUCACCAGGGGCAGACCAGGUGGAGUUACCCAACACUGGACUUUCAGCCUCCAAAACUGUAAACUGAAUAAAGUUCUUCUCUUUAUAACUUAGGCAGUCACAAGUAUCUUGUUAUAGUAACACAAAAUAGACUAAGACAGUCAGUAUCAUUACAUAAGGCAACUCGAAGAUGCCUUCACAGUCUACCAGAUGAGAGAGGAAAACAUUGUUACCUUUUAGAGCAGUGCUUCUCUAUUGGGGGCAAUUUUUGUCUUCCAGGGCCACCUGUUGAUGUCUGAGAUCUGUUUGAUAAUUGAACCUGGGGAGAAGAGGCUGCUAUUGGCAGGUGAAUGCAUUGUUGGCUCAAGCUCCAGAACCCCUAGAGCAACGUUCUGCUUACUCGAAGCACGAUCCCACGUUGGUAUCUGAUCUCGUCACACUUCUGCCAGGAGGUUAAAUGGACGAGGCCACAUUCUUGAUACCCAAAGUCUUCUUCAGGUCACUGUCCUGGGAGCACCAGAGGAUACCCAGCAGCCUGCUGCAAAGCAAGUCUGACCAUGGAUCCUGUUGUUAACUUGACUGGAAUUUGGUACCCAGGCUGGUCUUCCCCAGAGAACUCACUGCUCUUCAGUGACCCUGGCAUUCCUGCGGGUGACAUCAUCACGUACAGACUUCUGACUCAACUAGACUCCUCAGCAACUAAGGGAAAGUGUCAACCCACAAAACACAAAGAGGCAAAGAAAGCUGAGUAAGUGAUGUGAUCCGAGGCCAGGUGGAGUCUGGUGUCAAGAAAUUGUGCUGGAAAAACACAGGACUCCUCACCUUGACUCUGACCCUGCCUGCGGCAGACGGCACAUUUCUUUGGCAAAGAGACUGGUUGUAGUUAGCAGCCUCCUUCUGGAGAAGACAUUUCCUCCCCUGCUUCUGCGUGUGCCUGCGCUGUAACAGAAAAUCCCCCUGCCCGAGCCAGUAUACGCUGGUUUCUCAGCUGCCCGGGUAAUAGAUCCUUUCCGCCUCAGGUUGUUUCUGUCCUUAAAAACAGCUGAUCACUGUGAUGCAGAGCUGGUCUCCAUGAUGCGCACUGUGUAAACCAAUCCCCAACUGACAAGCCAUUCCACCUCUGUACUUCCUGUUUGCUUAUCCCAUAUAAGCUCUAGACCAACAGAGAUUGGGGCUUGGUAUUCUGGGAAUGAUCUGAAGCAGUGCCCGUCAAUGUAAAUAAAUCUAUCUCUGGUCCCUGG